AGAUUGAACGCUGGCGGCAGGCCUAACACAUGCAAGUCGAGCGGUAGAGAGGUGCUUGCACCUCUUGAGAGCGGCGGACGGGUGAGUAAAGCCUAGGAAUCUGCCUGGUAGUGAGGGAUAACGCUCGGAAACGGACGCUAAUACCUCAUACGUCCUACGGGAGAAAGCAGGGGACCUUCGGGCCUUGCGCUAUCAGAUGAGCCUAGGUCGGAUUAGCUAGGUUGGUGAGGUAAUGGCUCACCAAGGCGACGAUCCGUAACUGGUCUGAGAGGAUGAUCAGUCCACACUGGAAACUGAGACACGGUCCAGACCUCCGUACGGGACGGCGAGCGAGGUAGGGGAAUUAGUUGGACAAGUGGGACGAAAGCCUAGA
rnacentral:rRNA from 1 species